rnacentral:tRNA from 1 species
GCCCUUGUAGUACAGACCAAUACACCAGUCUUGUAAACCGGAGACGAAGACUUCCUUCCAAGGGCAUA